AAUAGAUACCCGGGUAGUCCACGCCGUAAACGAUGAGUGCUAAGUGUUAGGGGGUUUCCACCCCUUAGUGCUGCAGCUAACGCAUUAAGCACUCCGCCUGGGGAGUACGGUCGCAAGACUGAAACUCAAAGGAAUUGACGGGGGCCCGCACAAGCGGUGGAGCAUGUGGUUUAAUUCGAAGCAACGCGAAGAACCUUACCAGGUCUUGACAUCCCGCUGACCGCUAUGGAGACAUAGCCUUCCCUUCGGGGACAGCGGUGACAGGUGGUGCAUGGUUGUCGUCAGCUCGUGUCGUGAGAUGUUGGGUUAAGUCCCGCAACGAGCGCAACCCUUGUCCUUAGUUGCCAUCAUUCAGUUGGGCACUCUAAGGAGACUGCCGUACAAAUACGGAGGAAGGUGGGGAUGACGUCAAAUCAUCAUGCCCCUUAUGACCUGGGCUACACACGUGCUACAAUGGACGGUACAAACGGUCGCGAAGUCGCGAGACGGAGCCAAUCCGAAAAAACCGUUCUCAGUUCGGAUUGCAGGCUGCAACUCG
rnacentral:rRNA from 1 species